GAUGAACGCUGGCGGCGUGCUUAACACAUGCAAGUCGAACGGUGAAGGCGGAGCUUGCUCUGCUGGAUCAGUGGCGAACGGGUGAGUAACACGUGAGCAAUCUGCCCCUGACUCUGGGAUAAGCGCUGGAAACGGCGUCUAAUACUGGAUACGAGCUGCGAAGGCAUCUUCAGCAGCUGGAAAGAACUUCGGUCAGGGAUGGGCUCGCGGCCUAUGAGCUUGUUGGUGAGGUAACGGCUCACCAAGGCGUCGACGGGUAGCCGGCCUGAGAGGGUGACCGGCCACACUGGGACUGAGAGACGGCCCAGACUCCUACGGGAGGCAGCAGUGGGGAAUAUUGCACAAUGGGCGAAAGCCUGAGGCAGCAACGCCGCGUGAGGGACGACGGCCUUCGGGUUGUAAACCUCUUUUAGCAGGGAAGAAGCGAAAGUGACGGUACCUGCAGAAAAAGCGCCGGCUAACUACGUG
rnacentral:rRNA from 1 species